rnacentral:rRNA from 1 species
CCAGACUCCUACGGGAGGCAGCAGUGGGGAAUAUUGCACAAUGGGGGGAACCCUGAUGCAGCGACGCCGCGUGAGUGAAGAAGUAUUUCGGUAUGUAAAGCUCUAUCAGCAGGGAAGAAAAUGACGGUACCUGACUAAGAAGCCCCGGCUAACUACGUGCCAGCAGCCGCGGUAAUACGUAGGGGGCAAGCGUUAUCCGGAUUUACUGGGUGUAAAGGGAGCGUAGACGGUUAUGCAAGUCUGAAGUGAAAGCCCAAGGCUCAACCAUGGGACUGCUUUGGAACUGCAUGGCUGGAGUGCGGGAGGGGCAGGCGGAAUUCCUGGUGUAGCGGUGAAAUGCGUAGAUAUCAGGAGGAACACCGGCGGCGAAGGCGGCCUGCUGGACCGCGACUGACGUUGAGGCUCGAAAGCGUGGGGAGCGAACAGGAUUAGAUACCCGGGUAC